GGGCCUGUAGUCUAAUGGUAGGACGCCACCCUCACACGGUGGAGAACCAGGUUCGAUUCCUGGCAGGCCCA
rnacentral:tRNA from 1 species